GGGUUGUAAACCUCUUUUAGUAGGGAAGAAGCGAAAGUGACGGUACCUGCAGAAAAAGCACCGGCUAACUACGUGCCGCAGCCGGGGUAAUACGUAGGGGGCAAGCGUUGUCCGGAAUUAUUGGGCGUAAAGAGCUCGUAGGCGGUUUGUCGCGUCUGCUGUGAAAACCCGAGGCUCAACCUCGGGCCUGCAGGGGGUACGGGCAGACUAGAGUGCGGUAGGGGAGAUUGGAAUUCCUGGUGUAGCGGUGGAAUGCGCAGAUAUCAGGAGGAACACCAAUGGCGAAGGCAGAUCUCUGGGCCGUAACUGACCCUGAGGAGCGAAAGCAUGGGGAGCGAACAGGAUUAGAUACCCUGGUGGUCCAUGCCGUAAACGUUGGGAACUAGAUGUGGG
rnacentral:rRNA from 1 species